rnacentral:misc_RNA from 1 species
ACAUUUGAUUUCAAGGAAGUUUUGAAUUUGUAGAUAAGACAAAUCAUCAAAUACGCUUUACUUUAAAGCAUAGAAAUUAUUUAUUUAUAGCUAUUUAAGAAAAAUGUACUAUAGACUAGCUUUUAAUUGUUGCACAUACUCAAAUAUAUCACUGAAAGGAAACUACAAUAGUGUAUGAAGUUCCAUAGCCAACUAUAUAUAUAGUUCAUUUGAAUUCAAUGUUGUAUAAAAGGACAUUUGUAGAGGUUCACUUGAAUAUGUGACUGUGUGUUGUUGGUUUUCAGACUCUGCUAUUAAGGUUCCAGCUAGUGAGCAUUUCGACAAUAUUGUUGUCUAUUCUGUGGUCUAGAUUGUUAUCCGAUGCUGUGAUGACAUUGGAUUUUAUCUAUCAGUAGUAAUGUACAAGUGUAUUACACAAAGAACAAGAAUAAACUUCUAUAGACAAU